rnacentral:rRNA from 1 species
GGUCAAGCGAUUAAGCGCAUACGGUGGAUGCCUUGGCGGUCAGAGGCGAUGAAGGACGUGGCAGCCUGCGAAAAGCGUCGGGGAGUUGGCAGCAAGCAUUGAUCCGGCGAUGUCCGAAUGGGGAAACCCACCCGCAAGGGUAUUGCGCACUGAAUACAUAGGUGCGCAAGGCGAACCGGGAGAACUGAAAUAUCUCAGUACCCCGAGGAAAAGAAAUCAACCGAGAUUCCCCCAGUAGCGACGAGCGAACGGGGAUUAGCCCAAAAGUGGUGCAUGUUCUAGCGGAACGGCCUGGAAAGGCCGGCCAUAGACGGUGAUAGCCCGGUACGUAAAAGGGCAUGCACGAUGAAUUGAGUAAGGCGGGGCACGUGAAACCCUGUCUGAACAUGGGGGGACCAUCCUCCAAGGCUAAAUACUCCUGACCGACCGAUAGCGAACAAGUACCGUGAGGGAAAGGCGAAAAGAACCCCGGUGAGGGGAGUGAAAUAGACCUGAAACCGUAUGCGUACAAGCAGUGGAAGCUCCGCAAGGAGUGACUGCGUACCUUUUGUAUAAUGGGUCAGCGACUUACUGUCUGUGGCAAGCUUAACCAUCUAGGGGAGGCGAAGGGAAACCGAGUCUGAAUAGGGCGCACAGUCGCAGGCAGUAGACCCGAAACCGAGUGAUCUAGCCAUGGCCAGGGUGAAGGUGCGGUAACACGCACUGGAGGCCCGAACCCACGCCCGUUGAAAAGGUCGGGGAUGAGCUGUGGCUAGGAGUGAAAGGCUAAUCAAACUCGGAGAUAGCUGGUUCUCCUCGAAAGCUAUUUAGGUAGCGCCUCAUGUGUAUCCUGCCGGGGGUAGAGCACUGUUAUGGCUAGGGGGUCAUCGCGACUUACCAAACCAUGGCAAACUCCGAAUACCGGUACGGACUGCAUGGGAGACACACGGCGGGUGCGAACGUCCGUCGUGAAAAGGGCAACAACCCAGACCCGCAGCUAAGGUCCCAAAAUCAUCGCUCAGUGGAAAACGAUGUGGGAAGGCAAAAACAGCCAGGAGGUUGGCUUAGAAGCAGCCACCCUUUAAAGAAAGCGUAAUAGCUCACUGGUCGAGUCGGCCUGCGCGGAAGAUUUAACGGGGCUAAGCGAUGUACCGAAGCUCGGGGUGCACACAGUGUGUGCGCGGUAGAGGAGCGUUCCGUACGCCUGCGAAGGUGAGUCGUAAGGCUUGCUGGAGGUAUCGGAAGUGCGAAUGCUGACAUGAGUAACGAUCAUGCGGGUGAAAAGCCCGCACGCCGAAAGCCCAAGGUUUCCUUGCGCAACGUUCAUCGGCGCAGGGUGAGUCGGCCCCUAAGGCGAGGCAGAAAUGCGUAGUCGAUGGGAAGCGGGUUAAUAUUCCCGCACCGCUCGUCAUUGCGAUGGGGUCACGGAGAAGGCUAGGUGUACCGGGCGUUGGUGGUCCCGGGGAAAGGCGGUAGGUGGAACCCUUAGGCAAAUCCGGGGGUUCAUACACCGAGCACCGAGACGAGUCCCGCAUGGGACGAAGUCACUGAGGCCACGCUUCCAGGAAAAACCUCUAAGCUUCAGAUGACGACGACCGUACCGCAAACCGACACAGGUAGGCAGGGUGAGAAUCCCAAGGCGCUUGAGAGAACUCGGGUGAAGGAACUAGGCAAAAUGGUACCGUAACUUCGGGAGAAGGUACGCCCGCGGCUGUGGUGACGUGCGUCACUGAGCAGCUGCGGGUCGCAGUGAACUGGCCGUUGCGACUGUUUAUC